UACAGAGGGUGCGAGCGUUAAUCGGAAUUACUGGGCGUAAAGCGCACGUAGUCGGCUUUGCAAGUCGGUUGUGAAAUCCCCGGGCUCAACCUGGGAACUGCCUUUGAUACUGAAGAUCUUGAGUUCGGGAGAGGUGAGUGGAACUGCGAGUGUAGAGGUGAAAUUCGUAGAUAUUCGCAAGAACACCAGUGGCGAAGGCGGCUCACUGGCCCGCAACUGACGCUGAGGCGCGAAAGCGUGGGGAGCAAACAGG
rnacentral:rRNA from 1 species